UACGUAGGAGGCGAGCGUUGUCCGGAAUCACUGGGCGUAAAGCGCGUGUAGGCGGGGGGGCAAGUCUGCUGUGAAAGCGCCUGGCUUAACCGGGCGAGGUCGGCGGAAACUGCUUCCCUGGAGGGCGGUAGAGGGGGGUGGAAUUCCCGGUGUAGUGGUGAAAUGCGUAGAGAUCGGGAGGAACACCUGUGGCGAAGGCGGCCCCCUGGGCCGUACCUGACGCUGAGACGCGAAGGCGUGGGGAGCGAACGGG
rnacentral:rRNA from 1 species